GUCUGCAACUCGACUACAUGAAGCUGGAAUCGCUAGUAAUCGCGGAUCAGAAUGCCGCGGUGAAUACGUUCCCGGGUCUUGUACACACCGCCCGUCACACCAUGGGAGUCGGAAAUGCCCGAAGUCUGUGACCGAACCGAAAGGAAGGAGCAGCCGAAGGCAGGUCGGAUGACUGGGGUGAAGUCGUAACAAGGUAUC
rnacentral:rRNA from 1 species